UAUUAUUUGCAUACCUUGGAGAAUUCGCCCUGCAGGGACAUCAACCCUGAAUUACAGGAUUGUAGGACUGACUUACAACCUACCAGUGAACAACAACAGAUCUUGAACCACGCCUUUAAAACACCUGGAGAGAGGGUAAAAAUUGUGGCUUUUGCAGGCACUGGGAAAACGUACACACUGAUCCAGUACACCAAGAAAUGGUCCGAGCUUAAGUUCUUGUACUUGACGUUCAACAGAUCCGUCCGAGAACAGGCGGAACAGCUUUUCCCUACGAACGUCACCUGUAAAACCUUCCACUCCUUAGCUUACAAAGCAGUCAAAAAACUGUAAGGAGCUGCCUCCUAUUUAAUGAAUCUUAAAAAACAGUGAUG